rnacentral:rRNA from 1 species
AACGAACGCUGGCGGCAUGCCUAACACAUGCAAGUCGAACGAGACCUUCGGGUCUAGUGGCGCCCGGGUGCGUAACGCGUGGGAACCUGCCCUUAGGUUCGGAAUAACUCCCCGACAGGGGUGCUAAUACCGGAUAAUGUCUUCGGACCAAAGAUUUAUCGCCUUUGGAUGGGCCCGCGUUGGAUUAGCUAGUUGGUAGGGUAAAAGCCUACCAAGGCGACGAUCCAUAGCUGGUCUGAGAGGAUGAUCAGCCACACUGGAACUGAGACACGGCCCAGACUCCUACGGGAGGCAGCAGUGGGGAAUAGUGGACAAUGGGCGAAAGCCUGAUCCAGCAAUGCCGCGUGAGUGAUGAAGGCCUUAGGGUUGUAAAGCUCUUUUACCCGGGAUGAUAAUGACAGUACCGGGAGAAUAAGCUCCGGCUAACUCCGUG